rnacentral:tRNA from 1 species
UGUUCUAUGGCCGAACUGGUAAAGGCAUUGCCGAUCACAGGCAAGGUUGCGGGUUCGAAACCAGCUGGAACGG